GUUAAAAUUGAGUUAGGGUUUUGAGGGCUGCAAUGUUUGGAUUUGGUUUCACAGAUAUUUCCUCAGUAAGUCCACAGACAAAGUGUGAAAGAAUACAGAUUUAGAGAUUAUGAAGGUGUGGUGUCAUUUCACCCAUUAUCAGAUCACAACUUUUACUCUGACUAUACCUUGUGAUCAGCACCAGUCAGCAACUGUUAGCGUGAUCGAACACUUGUAAAGAUGGUGAAUGUGGCAAAUGUUCACUCUGAUUAAUAAGCAUGAUUUCAUAAAACUCAUGAGAAUUUAAUAAGCGUGUUUACACCAGGCAGCAAAAAAGGAACAAAUGCAGGAGUCUUUAGAGACUGAGACUGUCUUUAUUAGAACUGCAGCAAAUCAUGACUGCAGUCAACAACAGAUUUAUAAACUAACAAUUAGUUUAGACGAGUAAUGUUCUGUGAUUUGGGCUGAAAAUUCAUCAGCAAAUUUAUGUGAAAUAAACAGCAAUUUGUACAAAAAAGCCAUGAGUUUUGGGGUUAAUGAAGUUUCAAGUUUCUGAGGGGAAAAAAAUGACAAAUUUGUUUGGAAAAAUCACAAAUUUGUGUGAUGGAACAGUAACAAAUUUAUCAGAAUAAAAUUGCAAAUUUGAGGGUUUAUAAAGUUUUAAAUUUGUGAGAGAAAAAAAGCAAAAGUUGUUAAGGGAAAAAAGGAAAUGUGCACGAUUAUAAACUCGUAAAUUUGUGCAAAAAAAAAAUUUAUGUUCAAACUUAGCUGGUGUAUCCAUGUUAUCUACUGCUACGGGGUGUAGGGCCAUAAUUAUUCGUAUCAUUAGAUGCACGCACAUGUUUGGAUGGGGUUGGUUGACAUUUUACUUCUUUUAAAGACUGUGUAACCACCGAUCCAACUGUGACAAAUUAACAUAAUAUUAGACAAUUGUAUAACACACAACCAGUAAAUGCUCAAAACUGAAGAAGGUGAUCUGUGUUUCAAGACAGACUCACACAGCCCAGGAUAAUUAUAACCUAUUAUUUUACAGGUUUUAUCAGUCCCAAAUUUUUCAGACACUCUUAUUCCAGGCUUUGAACUCAAAAACCUGUAAUCAGGGCGACUCUGAUCUCCCGGCUUUGUGAUUCAGAGUCUUUUCUCUCAGGGUAAUCUGUUUGAUGAGCUCUGCUUUGAUGAGCUGUAGCAGUCAUCUCUCAUGUCUCUGAUGGUUUGAGGUUCGACCCACGUUUUUUGCAUGUAAUGUCAUCCAGAUUUUAUGACUUACCCUGGUUUGUUAUCCAUAUCACUCUUACUGCCAUGUGGUUCAAUCAAGCCGAACAUGAGUACUGUAUAAAAAAGAAAUAUAUUUGCUAAAAAAGAUGUUCAUUUUUUUCUUCAGAAACUCCUCGGAAGAUUAAAAAAGUUAAACUCAUACAGCUCAGAAGAAAGGUGACAAAAAAAAUAUCAUCAUUGGUUUAUGUCGGGUACUUCAUAAUCCCACAAUAAUGGAAAUGAGAGAAAAGAAAGUGAAUAUGGUAACAAGGGAGCAAGGAAAUGACUGAAGAAAGGACCAAGUGAGCAAAAUAGGGGACAAGAAAGUAAGAGAACAAGAAAAUGGGUGAACAAACUGACGAGAAAGUAAGCGAGUGAAAUGAUGAGAGAUUGAGGGAACAAGGCAACAAGUGAUCAAGGGACUAGGUAAAAGACGGACAAGUAAGCAGAGUGGUAAAAAAGAUAACAAGGGUAAGUGAACGAGGGUACAAGGAUCUAAGUUAACAUGGGACCAAGUAAAGAAAGCUGAGUGAACAAAUGAACUAGAAGGGCACAAGUGAACAAGGGUACAAGUAAACAAGGUAAACCAGGGAACAAGUGAAGAUGAAUGAGUUCGGGGAAGGGAUAAGUGACCAAGUGAAUAAGUAAACAAGUGAACUUUUGAAAGUACAAGAAAAUGAGAAAAAAGUAAGUGAGGGAGCAAGUAAAGAUUUAAGGGUGGAUGAAUGCAGAGAAACAAGAAUCUAAGUACACAAGGAACCAAGUUUAGAGAGACAAGUGAUCUAUAGCGGAAAGGAAAAAGGAACAAGAGAACAAGGGUGCAAGAAUCUAAGUGAACCCAGGACCAAGUGAAGGGGGAGUGAGUAAACUAUAGAGGACAAGGGAGGGAACAAAAAACGAUCAAGGAAACAAGGUUGCAAGCUAAUGAGGGAACAAGUGCACAUGGGCAUAGGAGUCUAAGUACAUAAGGGACCGAGAAAAGAGGGAAUGGUAAAUAAGUGCACUUUAAAAGGGAAUUGGAGAACAAGUGAACUAUAGAGGAAAGGAACAAGGUAACAAGUGAACAAGGGUGCAAGAAUCUAAGUGAACCCAGAUGACAAAGGAAGGACCAAGAAAACAAAGAAGUUAAUGAGGGAACAAGUGAACAUGGGCACAAGAGUCUAGGUGCAUAAGGGACCAAGAAAUAAGGGAAUGGUAAAGAGGUGCACUUAGAAAGGGAAUGAGAAAAUAAGAGAACAAGUGAAUAAGGGUACAAGGGAAUGAACACACCAGUAAAAAGGGAAUAGAAGAUGAGGGUACGAGUAAUGCAAGGAAACAAAUGAGCAAGGUUUAUAACAAACAAGGGAAGAGGAAGGAGUAAAGCGAGAAAGGGAACAUAAGAGCAAAUAAAAGAGGUAAUGAGGGUACGAAUGAGAAAUUAAAUCAUUAUGGAUUAACUGUAUCAUGAUCUGCGUUUUAUCACUCAGGGAUGGGAUUUUUGUGUAUUUUUACCACCUUUACCACUUUACGCAGUUCUGCUAUGAUUAGAAUAAUAAUUCUUAUAGGGUUGGACGCAUGAGGGUGUUUUUAGGCUCUCCCAAACAACGAUCCAUCUGAUCUGAGGCCGUAUGUGAGAGCGGAGGAAGAGCGAGGCAAGGAGGAGGUAUAAAUUGAGCAGACUUCACACUUUUGUCUGGCUGUGGCGAAGGAGGGAAGACAGAGCAGGGGAAGAGCGUUAUCUGUGAGGAGGAUAAACCUUCAAAAUUAUUUACCACUUUGAAAAAACCUGUCACUGACUUUAUUUAGCCUGGAGUGGGAUCUGAUUAGGGUCUGGGAUCACGCAGAAAAACCUGCAGGGAAGAAAACAAGUUAUCUGUUGUAGCAGCUUGGAGCUGGUGAUCCUGUUCUGCUCCCUGCUUAUCACUUGACUCUGGCUUUCCUUGAGUGCUUGAGCCUGUUUGUAGGGAUUACAGGACGUGAAAUCAAAACUUGCUGGAACAUUAACUUCACAGAUAGGUUU